rnacentral:lncRNA from 1 species
GCCACACCAAUUCAUGUUAAAUUGCCAGUAGAUGGAAACUAUGUUACCACAACUCACUGAAUUGCUAACUUUUCUGUGAAAGAAUUAAAACGAGGUUCAGCACUCCUGCAGAAACUGAUACUCACCCCAGAAAGACACCUUUUCCCAUCCCUCUGGCCCCUAAGCCUCCAGGGCUGCUCGGCACCUGGCCUCAGCAGGUGAACAUCAUGCCAGAUUCCUUGUCAGAUUCAAGGCCAAGUGGGUGAAUGUCAUGUGCAGUGUUGUGCCAGGUAUGUGCCGGGAGCCACAUGUUCCUUGGGGACAGCCUAGUGAAGCAGGAGACAAAUAAACAUGCUUGGAUGGAGGUAUGCAUGUGCUGUAACUCUGGAAUCCCUGGAAUAAUGGAGCCCUACAGAGAGGUACCUAAGAAAAGAAGUGACAGCGUCAAAGCAACAAAGGACAGACACGGGUAGGUGGGUGACAAUCCCCAGGAGAAGUAGGAUAAAAGUCCAGGGAAUUCUGGUACAUUUCUGUCUCCUUUCAGUGGCUUCGCUGAGCACAUUAAAUAGGGCCAUGCUACUAUCCCCAGUUUACAGAUGUAGAAACUGAGGCUCAGUGACUGCAAGUAGCUUCCCAACUGAUACUGAUCACAAUAAAAUAUUAUAAAAAGUUAACAGGAAGGGAGAUAUUAGGUCCUCUGCUGCUCUGGUGCACCUGCCAUUCCUUGCUAAGCAUCACUAUGGCAAAUAGUAAGACUCAAGGCUGCAACCAGAAAUUGGUUGAGAUUCGUGUUCCUGUCUCAAGGGUUACUCCCAGUGGCACCCCCUGGGUUUUCUAGAACAAAGGACUCCAUCUCAGCAGGGAGAAAGAAAGAUGCAGUUUCUGACCAUAUCAAUGGCAUUGCUGGAGGAUCUCCCUCUCUAUGUUGCCACACCGAGAGGUGCACAGAACACAUUCUGACAAGUAAAGAUUCCAGUGUCAUCUGAUAACUAUCAACAACUUCAUUAGCUCACCUAAACAAAGAGCCUUUCUUAUUUUUUUAGAAACAAAACUCUUAUGGAAACGAUUAUGUUUUCUUCUUUCCUCUAAAACACUUACUUGGCUAAGAUGAUUUUUAUUCUAAGAUGAAGAUUUACC